rnacentral:rRNA from 1 species
AUUGCACGCUGGCGGCAGGCCUAACACAUGCAAGUCGAACGAGUGGCGGACGGGUGAGUAAUGUCUGGGAAACUGCCAGAUGGAGGGGGAUAACUACUGGAAACGGUAGAUAAUACCGCAUACCAUCAGAAGUGCCCAGAUGGGAGUAGCUAGUAGGUGGGGUAAUGGCUCACCUAGGCGACGAUCCCUAGCUGGUCUGAGAGGAUGACCAGCCACACUGGAACGGAGACACGGUCCAGACUCCUACGGGAGGCAGCAGUGGGGAUUAUUGCACAAUGGGCGCAAGCCUGAUGCUGCCAGGCCGCGUGUGUGAAAAAGGCCUUCGGGUUGUAAAGCACUGUCAGCGAGGAGGCGUUACUCGCAGAAGAAGCACCGGCUAACUCCGUGCCAGCAGCCGCGGUAAUUC